AGAUGGCAAUAUGUCUUGCAUCAUUUCCUACACGUGAUGCACAAUGAUUACCUUUAGGACGCUCAUUGACAGAUUCAAGCCUCUUUGGAAUUCUGUUAUUUUCUGCAGUUGGUGGACUGGAACAUGAUAGAGAUUCCUGCGACGAAAAACUUCUCUUCCUUGAGUGCCUUUCAGGAUUCUUUGAGAUAUUGUCAUCUAUAUCAGUGCCUAUCGGCAAAUUUCUGCACUCUUGAUGUGCUUGAGCACAGGUAAUAUGCGACGUGCUUAUAUCAUUAACCAAGUCAUUUGUCUUUGCAUGGUUUAUAGGUGCAACUGCUCUUCUACCAGACCCACAAGUUCCAUAUACUGCUACAACACUUGGUGCUGUAUCUACCAAAAUAUUCUCUUCUGUGAAUUGAUCAGGAAGUUUUUCAAAAUUGCCAUCACUCACCUCAGAUACUUUAAAGCUAACUUCAGCUUGAUUUCUUGGAUGUUCCCUCGACUUGGCAUCAUUUAUCCCCAUCUCCAUCUCUUGUCUUUCGAAAGUAGAUUCAGGUUUCCCUGAAAAGCCCAAACUUGAAGAACUGACUUUCUCUUUCUGCAUCUUAAAUCCAACACUGCUACAAUUGAAAGUCUUCUCUCUUUGGUCAGAAUAGGGAAUUCUAAUGUCAUCCUUAUUCCCAUCCUUCUUAGCGAAAGAGGUAAUGGAGUUGAAGAAGUCGCAUGGCCUAAACAAUGUAUACUCAGCUGUCAUUUUCAAAGGCUUUCUAGCACUAAAUGAUUGAAAAUUGCCAGAACUCAGUAUCUGGAGUUCAGAAUAUUUUGUGUUUAAACUCAUCCCAGCAGAAGAAUUAGACUUAAGUCUCUCGGCCAUAUGCGAACACUUAGGCGAGCUGCAGAACAAUGAGACCUACAACAGGUGUGAACAAUGUGAGGAAGAGGGAAAUAUUUUUAUUAGGACUGUUAUUCUGCAAGCCAUACUAAUUACGAAUAAUUCUUCAAACGCACUCCUUGAUGAAUUUAGUAUCUAAAAAUGGUGUAUGCAGGAUUGCAAACAACAUGUUUUUGCAAAUGAAAUGCUUGGUUAUAUUAUAUAUAAAAUUAAAAAUUACAUUUUGUCUCUCUUCAGUAGGAAUCCAGUAGGUGACUCGGAGAUGGUAUAUUUGAUUUAACAUAUUACUCAACUCGAUUACUUCUAAUGACAUAACAAUGGAUUAGGUUACAAAUGUAAUAGCUGUUGAUAAUUUCAGGCUCAAGCAGAUAUAAUGACUUGCUCCUUUUAAUAACAGCAUAAGGUCCAUCUGGUUCUACUUCUAGAAUUAUAAAGAUCAAACCAGAUAUUACACUGAUUAAACUUCCCUCCAAACAUACUGCACAGGUUUGAGGAGCAAAGAUGGGCAGCUGACCACGGCUACCAUCAUCCCCUACUUCAAACUCCACGUAAGCCGAAACUGACCUUCUCUUGCAACUCCACCAACAUGGGCAUGGGUGGGUGAGAGGAGACGACCAGGCCAGAUAUGCAGGAGGGAAAAGAGUGGAGAGACUUUGGUAAAGGGAGAAUGAAGGAGAGAAGGUUGAGAAAAGAAGGGAAGAGGAAAUAAAGAACAAUUCGAUUUCUAAAAUACUUCCCUAUGUAUGGAAUCCAAAUUAAAACAUCAAUAUUUAUUCAUGUUUAAUGACUAAGUACUUCAUUUUU
rnacentral:lncRNA from 1 species